GGGGUUGUGGCUCAGUGGUAGAGCGCUUGUCUACCACAUGUGAGUCAUUGGGUUCGAUCCUCAGCACCA
rfam:Ictidomys tridecemlineatus contig122241, whole genome shotgun sequence.